UUGCCAAAAGUAUAUUAAAUUUUUAUCGUUCUUCCGUAUUCUUGCGGAUAAAAUAUCUUCACACACAGGACGAUCGUCUCGGUAAAUAGAUCCAACGUUUAUGAUUCGAUUCGUUAUUAUAAAAAUAGGAGCUUCUGGAUGGAAGGAACAAAUUGGCAUAUUUUUUUUUAAUCAUUUCUUCUCUUUUUGAACGAAACUGAUUGUAGUUUAAUUUCCAGAAGGAAAAUGGUUUAUUCGUUAGAGAAAUGAUAUCAGUAUCAUUUUGGAGAAUCGAUGGAUGUACGUAAGAAGACACUCCAACCACCGAGUUGAUAUCAUCGAAUCGCGGUAUCUUAGAAAAAUCCAUCAAAUUUUCCUACAUAACGUACGACCAAGAGUAACAUAGGUUUUAUCGAACGAUAGCAAAUAAUCAGCGGCAACAAUAGUAUUAAAUAUUUCGAUUUAACGUAAAAAAGGAAAAAGAUAUUGUCAUUGGGGAAAAAAAGAAAUGGUAACUUUCCAAGCUAAGUACUUCGAUGCCACUGUCAAUAAAAUCCUACGUCGAUUGUCAUUCCCAAAAAGGAAAUCAAAAUCUUCGUAUGUCAUCUUCAUGUGUCAUUGAGGGAAAAAGGUUCAGUUGCAAAAUGUAUUGAAACAACAGGUACAACUGCGAUCGUCAAGGGAAAACCUAUCGCGAUCUGUUGGCUUCGUGAUCUAUCUUCUAUGGAUAAACGUGGAAAAAAGGGAGAAAAGGAGAGAGAGAGAGAGAGAGAGGGAGAGAGAGAGAAAGAGAGACGGAGAGGGAGAGAGAGAGAAAGAGAGAGAGGGGGGGGAGAGAGAGAGAGAGAGAGAGAGGAAAAAGAUGGCAGAACCGAGAGUAAUCGGGAGCAGACUAUGGUGUCCUUGAUAGCAAGUGCCUUUUGCCAGCAUACGAUUGACGUCAUGUCGCUUCAACGUGCUGUACGAUCGACGAUUUCAUUAAUUGUAAUCUACGAGCAAAGACAAGUGAAAAUCAGAUUGCCGAGCAAUUAUAGGAACGCGUUUCUACCUCGUCAUCCGUGUCUCCCGCGCUUUUCGAUCCUCUUCCUCCGCCAGAAGCACUUUUAACGUUCACUUUUUGCACUCCAAUUUCGUUAAAAUUUUUGAAUUUUCCCCCUUUCCUUUUUUAAUUUUUUUAUAAAAUAGCUUCGUGCCGGAGUAAUGCACUUUACGUCUCUAUCAUGGUUGGUAAUCUUCUAUGGUUACAAUUUUGACUAUAAAAUAUUUUGUAGAGUUGUAUCUUGCGCGACAAAUUAUGGUUUCAGAUCUAAUUUCUCGAUAUUAUACAGAGAAGACUCGAAAGGUAAAAGAUAUUGCCGAAAUUAUUCUAUGAAACCAUUCUUCGAAUUAUAUAUGUAAAUUUUUAGAAUUUACUUAAAUGAAAACGCUUGCAGAGUAGUACGUGCUUCCAAAAGCGCGAAACAGCUUGACACGUUUAAAAUAAACGAACCAGAGCACGGACAUUGUCUAUCCGAUUUUCAGAUAUAACACGGAAAAAGCUUCAAAGGCUUGAAAUACGUAAUUCAUUUUUCAGUACGAGAGAAAGAAAAAUAGGACGAAAGCGAUUGAAAGUUGAAAAGUUCGUAUGGCGUUGGCAAUCAAGGUGACUCUUUCGAACGCGAUUCCACGACGAUAAUGUCAUCCGAGUACUUUUUGACGUCUCUUGUGCAAGCAUCAGUUUCAUCACCGUAUUUGUCCGCGCAAUACGGAUAUUGUUAGUCGAUCGGUGACGUUCGGACAGAGAACGAGCAACGAACGAAGACGAGAAAGAGAAAAGAGAGACAGGCCACGGCGAGAUCGCGGCCGGUGUCGUUAAAUUGUGAAAGAAAUCGCAUUAACGCGGCCACGAUUAACAAAUCUACGUCAAUACAAUUUUUAGUGAAGAAUAUUAUGAUGCGAAAUUAACAGCAACGGAAGCGCGUGAUUACGCGAAGCGGAGAGCUCGACGUAACUUGGACACGUCGAUUUUCAAUAGCCGAUUCUUCGUUCGAGAAAGCUGAUGAUGACUCGCCGAAAAGGCAACGAUUUACCGGUAAUUUGCUGGCGCGGAAAUGCAGGGAUUGGAAAUCGAGAAUUCCAAUUUCCAACUUCUGGAUUCGCAUUUACGGACCGGGAGAAACUGAAGCGUUAAGGGACGAGUUUCACAUAAUUCUAAAGUUAAAUCGAGUUACGAGGUCUCUUUUACGAGUAUCUCUCUACGUCGUUCGUUCCUGUUAUGCUCUCUCGGGUGAUAUGAAAUAUUCUUCGAACAAAUAUCGUUGCUUUGCGGAAAAAUCGGUUGAACACUUCGACAGAGACGACGGUCGUUGGUGUGACUCACGCUACUAAAUUUUUUAGAACGAUUAAAGUAAGAUAAAUGCCAUGGACUAAUCAAUUUUCAACAAUGAGAAUGGCUUUGAUAAUAUCGGCGCAAAAAACAAGAUCGUAAAUACGAUGUAGGUAUAACAGUUGGCAGAAAUUAAACGCCAUGGCGUACUAUACAUUUUGAUCUAUUGCCAGAAGAAAAUGUAUCGGAUUCGCGUGACAGUCGACGUGUCAACGUGUGACGUGGAUCAUACAACGCGAAGAAGUGGAUCUGAUUAGAAAAGCAACGUAAUGAUUCAAGGUAGAAAUAAACGUAUAUCGUUUCGCGAGAAAAGUUUAUAACGUCUCGUUGUUCUCUCUGACUAAACGUUAAACUGCAUAGAGGAACACGAGACUCGUGGUGACGGAUCGCGUGCCACUCUCUUCAAUUACCAAUAGUUAUACUUGGUGUCGCGAUUUUAUGGACGCAAAGGAAAUAUAAAGCUCUUGCUGCUUGAAAAUGUUGUUUGUCUUAGAAACGUUGAACGAGCCUCGCAUUUAUUUGAAUACCAAAUUCGAAAUUUUAAUAUCGUAUAAAAUUCAAGCGAAAACUUCUUCGAAAUUAGAAUAUUGUAUUCAAUUUCAGUGAAACUUUAUUCCAAACUAUACUUUUUCCCUCGAACACCUUCGUUCCGGAAUAUCUUUAUGGUCGAUUCAACCUAUAUGCUGGAAAAUGGCUAGAGAAUUCAACACUCCUCGACUUUCAUCCUAGCCAAUAUUCCAUUUAAGACAACUUCAUAGCUGCGUCGUAUUUCAAACUAACGUUUCCAAAGUACUAAAAGAUUCAACGCCGAUCGUUCGUUUCGAGUAACAGUCCACAGCCAAUUUUAAGUCGAUCCAGUCAAUCUAACUCCAGCUGAAACAACAUAAUAGCUAUAUUCCACAAGGCAAAUAAAUAUUUCGAAAAUACUAAGAGAUAUGUUCCCUCGAUGUUCGUUCUAGCAGUAAGUUCCAUGAUCAAUUGCACAGCAAUAUUCAAUCGAUGUUGUAAAACUAUUAAAAAAAUCAUUCGCUUCUCCAUCUUUAUUCCAACAACUGUUUCAUUCGAAACAACUUUCUGCCUGCUCCAUAACACAAAAGAACGUUGCAAAAAUACUAAAAAAAAAAAAAAAAAAAAAAAAAAAUCCUGUGUUCGAUUCUCAUGCCAAGUUCCACAGUUAAUUUCAAAGCAAUCCAACUUCCCAUUCCAUGAUUCCUCGGCUCACACCUGAUAAAUCCAACCGUAAUUCAAACCAUCGUUGGCAAUCGUCCUAUUCUUCCGACUAGAAAGCAAGAAAACGAGUGGAUCCUAACGAUGUGGAAGAUCGACUUCAAAGAAGGUGAUGGGAUACCACCUUAUGAUCCAGCGUAACGUUGACUCGCAAUUAAAUGGCUACAGACGUAACCGACGUUCGCGUUUAUUCCCUUCAGCUUCUCCUCUUUCUAUGCUAUGUACACGACCACGUGCACGCGUGAAACGAUAAUGCAAUGUAGACAGGCCUGGCCUGCUUUGAUAAUGACGCCAACUAUCAUCCACGGCAUCUGCCUUCGCAUCCAGACACAGCUCGCUGGCCUAAGUGCUCGAUAUUGCCGCGUUCCGCAUUUCCCAAGGCAUCUCGCGUCUUUGAACACCUCCGAUCGACCAACUCCUUUGACGUCGUUUACAGCUGUGAGCUUCUUGAUCGAUUUAAGCGCCGUAAUAACGAGGAUCGAGUACGAUAACGGGAAAAUUGCAGCGUCCCACUGGUUGCUGCAUUUUCGGCGAGAAUUUCGAACUUCCUCCGACGAGCAAGACGAUCGAUCAUGCUGGAAACAUUGGAUAUGAAAUGAUUGGAAUUCAUUUAUCCGAACUCCGGUUAUUAAACCGAAAUUUUGCAAUCUACUUAUUUCAUAUGGAGCAGGAUCAAUCAUACGAUAAAGACGAACGUAAAGUACAGUGGAACUCAGUCUAUUCGAACUUGAGUUAUUGAAACGAGAAUGUGAUUUAGAAUCUGAUUCGAGGCGAGCUCAUCGAAUUUGCACUUAUUCGAAUGAAAAUCUAAAAUACGUACUUCGAACGUGAUUCCUCGUUAUGGGAAUCGAAAAUAUUUAGUAAGCUCGUAGCGUGAAGAAAUUGGUGAACUAGCCUGGAACAACUAUUAUACGAACUCUUUGCGAACUUUCGCUUGGUUCAGGUAAAUGGAUUUCCACUGUAUUCAAGCGAACUCUGCAACCAAAUAUAUACGAAACAUGUAAGAAGUAUCAAGGACGCGUUCUAUUCUACUGAAGUUAUGAUCUUCGUUCCAUGCGACAAAAUUGAUUCCAGUCGACCUGAAGAACAAAAGGAUUGGCUUAUGCAACUACUAGUACUAAAUUCCCGAUAGAAAAAUCAACCGCAAAGAGACAAUCUUCUUCUCCGAUCUAAAGGAACGUCGCUUCGAAGUCGCGUUAGAUGCGCUUUCCAAGUUAAACUGCUUAACUGGUGCCUCUUACACAAGGAGAAGCGAGGAUAAAAGGAAACACGGUCGGAACGAAACCGAUAUCUCGUUCUCUGCAUCGAAAUUACUCGAAAACCCCUCGAGACAGCUUAAGAACAAAACCGUGGAACUGGACUAAUUGGAUGAACCGCGCAUUUCACGAGAUUUAUCAUUUUAAAAAUAGUUAGCGGCUCUAAGGCUAACGAUAAGAAGAAAGUGGAUCGCCGAAUGGCUUUUGAGGCGCGACCACGUACAAGUGCGUCUAUUUUUAAAGGGUCAAAAGGUACUACGAGUUACGCGGUAAAUACGUAAACAAAGAGGAGAAAGAAGCCUCGAUUUUACAUGAUCUGAAACCUGUGGGAGAACCUAUGACUGCCAGGGGUCUGGCAUUGGACGAGUCGCGACUGUGUUUCCACGUCGUGCGAUCUGUAAAGCGAUCAACGACGCAAGGAAUAUUUUCUCGCUAGAAAAGAACAUUGGUAAUGACGUCGAGCGCGUGUCAUCGAGUGUCUUGAGAUAAGCCUCGUCUUACGCGAUGUCCAAGGAACGAACGCCAAAACAUGGUCGCUAUAAAAGAAUAUCGUCACAUAACGUUAUUUUCCGAUCAAGCGUCUUUUUAUCUGGUUCUACGUUUCGUUCUAGCGGUAUCGAGCUUUGAACUUAACACAGUAAACUGAGAUUAGAUCAAUACGUUUGGACUUGGUCAUUAAAUAUAAAUGCUGUGAGAAAUACAACGAGGAUUUUUCUUGACAAGUGUAAGGGCGUGUGCUUGUCGCAAAGUAUCCUACCAUUAUCUGGAAAUACGAUGUUUACACCGGGACACUCUACAGAUAGCAUCAAUGCCAAUUUGUUAUCCAAACAGCUUACCGUAUCGAUCGUCACAGAGGGAAGAAACCUUUCGCUGGGAAAAACUUACCCUCCUCGGCUGGCAAUUCUGAAACAGACAAGAUGUAACGCAAAUAAAUAACCGAUUCAAACUGGA